rnacentral:rRNA from 1 species
UACGUAGGGGGCGAGCGUUGUCCGGAUUUAUUGGGCGUAAAGAGCUCGUAGGCGGUUUGGUAAGUCGGGUGUGAAAUCUCCACGCUCAACGUGGAGGGGCCACUCGAUACUGCCAUGACUCGAGUCCGGUAGAGGAGUGUGGAAUUCCCGGUGUAGCGGUGAAAUGCGCAGAUAUCGGGAAGAACACCCGUGGCGAAGGCGGCACUCUGGGACGGUACUGACGCUGAGACGCGAAAGCGUGGGGAGCGAACAGG